AACGCAUCUUGCGCUCCUUGGUCUUCCAAGGAGCAUGCCUGUUUGAGUGCCCAGAAAUUCACUCAACCCAGCAUGCUUGUUGUGCUGGGCUGGAAGGUGGGGGAUCCUGCAGUGCUUUUGCAUUGCUCCCUUCAAAUGUGUUAGCUUGACCUCAUGUGGUCUUGUGCCCCUGGCUUGAUAUGUGUCGAUGCUGCGGGUGACCCAUUGAACAGGCUUACAGCUGUCCUUGCGGACAACCUUUUGACCUUGGGCCUCAAAUCAGGUAGGACUACCCGCUGAACUUAA
rnacentral:misc_RNA from 1 species